ensembl:lncRNA
GUUUCUGAGAAAACAGUGGAUUCUGUUUUGGAUUUGACAAAGUGAGCUGCCUGCAGAAAUUCUGGGGCAACAGUGUCCUACAGAGAGUCGAGUGAACCCAUCUUGAGCGGGGCACAUCUUGGCUAAAGCUAACAUUUAGAGUCGCAAAUUCUAGUUUAAUUAUGAUUUUGUGCACGAUUCCUAAUAUUGGUUUUACAUUUUAUUAUUGAAGAGGCAGAAAUACUAGUCAUAGAGAGUUUUAUUUAAUAGGGGCUCUGGAGUCAUGGGUGUGGUCGAGAGUACACCUGGAGGACAGGGAGAGAAAGCAGAAAAGACCUCCUCAAGAAAACCGUCCACGUCUUAGACUACCUGGUCUGAACAAGAACAAACUGUCUGGAAAGGAGGCACCUGCUGACCCUGCAGGUGCGCACCAUCCGAUUCCUCGUGUCGGUGAUUCUGACCAACUGCUGGCUGUUGGGUCCCCUGAAUCCACAGCAAACACACUCACUCAUGGCUUAAUCUCCUCCUGCACCAUCUAACUUGCCCACGGGGUCUUUAGUUCUCCUUCUGACAGAGAACCAUUUCACAUCUUAAAACCACUGAGUCAUCAAAAUAAAGUAAAACAGGAAGAACCUGGCAGGCCACAGAGUUGUGUGUCACGGAUGGGACCAGUUUCAAUAACAGUGGUCAACUCAAGGGGCAAGCCCGAUGUCGGGACCCAGACGUGACAGGGAGUAGUGACACCAGGAAGCCGGGCGAAAUGACAGAGGGAACCUGGCAGGAGCCACCAGGAGCCUGUGUCAGCCUGCGCUUCUCCCUGUCAACGCCCACCUCCAGCACCACGGCCUCCCUGCAAGUCCCAGAAAACACGUUUGUCUAGAGCUGAGUUCAGACACAGAAUAGGGUGAAGAAAAUUCCAAUGUAAAACCUAGGAUUGAAAAGAAAAAACACCAGGCGGACUGCGUUCUAUAGUUAUACCCGUGACGCCAUCUUGUUUGUCUUCAGUGGUGUCUUUUUUUGCAGGGGGGAGGUUGCUUUUGGGGAUUUUUGCUGAAAAUAACAGAAACUCCAAUUAAGACUGGGUUAAACAGUAAGAAAUGUUUUAUGUUACCAAAGGAAAAGUCUAGAAAUUGAUUCAGCAGCCUGGUGUUGUCAACAAGAUACUAGCUCUUUCCAUUUCUCUGCUCUCUGGCCUUGCUCUCCCUUCUCUCCAAGGCGAGUCCACCUCAAGGUCUUGGCUGGUAGCAGUGGGGCAGUGGCCUCCUCAACCACACCACCAUAGGAGACAAAGAGGACGUCUCCCCCACUGGAGAAGAGAAGAUGCUCAUUCUGUGGAGUUGAGCAAACCUGAGACACACGCGUCAAGAAGGCCAUUAGGUGGAUUCUGUGUGCGCAUCCUCAUCCAGACUCGUCAGGACCUGGGCUGAGGGUUUGGGAUGGAGAAGAUAUGUGAAAAAAGAUACAUGAAAAACAGAAGAGGGGGAAAGGGGAAAACAGAAGCUACAUGGGAAGAUCUGGCCCUCCACAUCCCAUCAGAAAAUCUGUAGUGAGAGUAACAGGCACAGAUUUGCACUGACUUUCCAAUCCAGUGCAUCCUAUCCAUUCAUUUCUAUAUAAAGUAUUGUAA